rnacentral:lncRNA from 1 species
AUGACCCUACAAGAUAAUGACAUCCGUCAGACGGAGAGAAAGCGAGCAAGUUCGAGGAAAAGUACAGGAUUUUUGACAGUCGAGGGAUUUGCGUGGUUGCUUCUUAUUUUACAGAUGGAAGGCAAGAAGAGAAAGGAGAAGAAGAAGCGGAUUCUGGAAGGUGAUGCAUCAAAGUGCUCGAAAGUUGGUGGUGGGCCGGUGCGGUCAGAAUUUUCCCGGUGGAUUUUGGUGCCCCACUCCGCCCCUGUUGUGAAAACAAAAGUCAGGAGCAGUGCUGCAGAGAGUGACAUCCCAUAAUAACCACCACACUGAAGGAUAGAAGCAGAAGAAGACGCAGAAGACAAGAAGAAGAAGUAGAAGAAGACGCAGAAGAAGUAGAAGAAGAAGAAGAAGAAGUAGAAGAAGAAAUCUUUGGUUGACCGACAACUGACAGGUUUUUAUCACUGACUCACACAAUUAGCAUCAGUUAGCAUGUUGUGGAUGUUAGCAGCAGCUAAUCUCUGCCUCUGUGUUUGUCAUUCUAACACGUCAGAGCCACAAUCAACACGGCUGAGAAUAACAAGCUGCGGCUGAAUGUUUUGUGUUCUGACGUUCGUUAAUAGGACAGAUUCAUUAGUGUGAGUUUGUCGACUCUCAGGUGUCAGAACAGAGUCAAUUAAAAGUGUCUGUCACACUCACACAGUCACAUGUAGACCUCAGCACCACGAUGCCACUGUGACAGACACACUGCACCAUCACCAACACACACUGUGAGGAGGAGGAGGAGGAGGCGGGA